ACUCCUGCAGGAGGCAGCAGUGGGGAAUUUUGGACAAUGGGCGCAAGCCUGAUCCAGCCAUGCCGCGUGCGGGAAGAAGGCCUUCGGGUUGUAAACCGCUUUUGUCAGGGAAGAAAAGGUUCUGGCUAAUACCUGGGACUCAUGACGGUACCUGAAGAAUAAGCACCGGCUAACUACGUGCCAGCAGCCGCGGUAAUACGUAGGGUGCAAGCGUUAAUCGGAAUUACUGGGCGUAAAGCGUGCGCAGGCGGUUAUGCAAGACAGAGGUGAAAUCCCCGGGCUCAACCUGGGAACUGCCUUUGUGACUGCAUGGCUAGAGUACGGUAGAGGGGGAUGGAAUUCCGCGUGUAGCAGUGAAAUGCGUAGAUAUGCGGAGGAACACCGAUGGCGAAGGCAAUCCCCUGGACCUGUACUGACGCUCAUGCACGAAAGCGUGGGGAGCAAACAGGAUUAGAUACCCCGGUAGUCCC
rnacentral:rRNA from 1 species